rnacentral:rRNA from 1 species
UACGUAGGGUGCAAGCGUUGUCCGGAAUUAUUGGGCGUAAAGAGCUCGUAGGCGGCUUGUCGCGUCGGCUGUGAAAACCUGGGGCUCAACCCCGGGCCUGCAGCCGAUACGGGCAAGCUAGAAUUCGGUAGGGGAGACUGGAAUUCCUGGUGUAGCGGUGAAAUGCGCAGAUAUCGUAAGGAAGACCAGUGGCGAAGGCGGGUCUCUGGACAGUUCCUGACGCUGAGGAGCGAAAGCGUGGGGAGCGAACAGG